rnacentral:lncRNA from 1 species
AACGUGAUUUGGACAGGUUUUAUCCUCCGCCCUAUACCAUUUUAGCUAUCCAAAUUGCUCUAAAACAUCUUUCUUUGGCAUUCUCAUUUUGUCUCUGUCAAAAACUCUAGUUUUCGAGUGUGUUUCGAUAUCGUUGUCAUCGAUUUUGAGCGUAGACUAUGGACCAAAGCACCCCCACCCCCGUUCACUGCCAUGCAUCAGGUACAUCUGUCUCCCCUUUUCUCUGUUUCGUCCCUUUAAUAAAAUCUUACAUUAUGUGUGUUUGAAAAAUGUGUAUUAAGAGUUCUGUUUAAGUUAAUCAACUAUAGUGUUAAAAAUGUAUUUUUCUGCUUUAGUUUAAGGCCUGAGAGACUCAAGGUCACAUUCUUUCCACGUUUUGGUUGUCAUGAAUCUGAGAAUGAUUUCUUGUCUUUUGGAUUCACUAUUUGUGCAAAAUUAUUUUUUUUGUUUCUAGAUUAAUACUAGUUAUGGAGAAUUCAUCAAAUGUUUGUUUUGUCUAGUUUAAGGAUGUUGUUUUGUUUAGUUAAAAAAUAUUAUACAGAGUUUUCAUCAAACCUCCUCUAAAUAGACUUUUUUUGGCCUUUCUUUUUAAGUCUUUGUAUUUGUUCUAUUUAGCAAAUAUGUGUAGGUAAGUUAUGGUUCUAAAAUGUCAUCAUACCUGAAAUACUCUUCGAUCAUUCUUUUCGUUCGUGUUUUAUUUUUUAAAAAAACUGUCUUCAUUAUACUUUAAACCUAGUAGAUGUGAGGAUUAUUUUUCGGACAUAUAUCACAAUUUAGCUAUUUUAAGUUGGUUUGAGAGUCCCCAAUUGUGAGAUGGUUAUGUCGUUAGACACUUGCAUAUUUAAUGCGUUGUAUGGUACCUUUGUUAUAUGAUUUAUCUAAUCUAUUUUAUUCAAAACCAUUGAGGAGUUAACCGGCUUUCACUUUAAGUCAUUAAUUUGUGUAUUUUCGAGAAAUCUGUGUACCAGAUAUUUUGUCUAAGUUACUUGGCUAUAAUAGAAGUAGUAUUAAAAUGCACUUUGUUUGAGUUUAAGGCUUGUAGAGAUUCGAAGUCACAUUCCUUUCACGUUUUCGCUAUAAUGAACUUGUGAAUUAUUUUUUUUCUGAGGAUACUUGCAUCAAAUCAGUUUUUUCUUGUUUCUAAAUUGACGUUAGUUACAUAGUUCUCUGAAAAAGGAAAAAAAAUGUUGAGGAGAUGUUGACUUUUGGUUACUUUUGUUUUGAUCAUUUGCCAUCUAUCUCAUCUAAUAUAAUGUGAGCCCAUAAUCCUCAAAGGCCUUGCCUACGAUUUUAUUCCCUUUCUGCAUAUUGCGCACACAUUUUUUCUGGAAGCUUUUAUACAUUUUGUUGGCAGGACAUAUAUGUAGAAAGGUUCAUUUUUGUAGAACAUAUAAUGUUUUGAGGUCCUGGAAUCUUUUUUCAUGUUUUAAAAGAUAUGUGUUUGGAUAUUGUUUGAGACUUAUACAAGUCUGUAUCUAAUCUCGCCUAGCGUAGACAUUACUGAAUUAAAAAAAAAUGGUUUGUUUUGGGGAUAAAAAUGGGGUCAGCUUCUUCGAUUUCACUCCAAGAUUUUUGCUCAUUUGGAAAUGAGAAUGCCAGUGAAAGAUGUUUUAGAGAAGUCUUCAGAGAAGUCUUUGCCAUGAGAAAAGUCUUGCUUUUAAGGCUCUUUGUCAUGAGAGAAAUCUUGCUUUUAAGGCUCGACGUAUCGAUGGAAACAUGCAUCACUCAUCAUGCAUUGCCCUUGUUUCACCCAUUCGAAUAGAAAACAAAAAUGAGCGCGAAGGAGUUGCUAUUUCCAUCUUAGCCUUUCCCUUUACUUGGUUCUUUAUAUGUUUUGUUAUAUUUAUUUAGUUAGCGUUGUCUUCAAUAUUUUGAUUAUUUUCAUAGAACAACAAAGUCGCGAAUAAUUAUGAAGUCAGACGGGUUAGUAGAGAAUGUAAGAGUACUGUGUGUUAAUUCCUACAGUGUUUCCAAGGGAAUAGUUACGCCCCUUUUUUAGAACCAAGUUUUCUCUUGUUUAAAUUCCAAAAAGAUCCUUCUGAAAUUUGCAAAUAAAAAAAAAAAUAUUUUAAACAUUUGAUGUUCCUCUUUCAACUGUAAACAAACAUGUUUCAUUAAAAAAAAUUACAUAUUUUUUUAAUAAGGUUUUUUUAAAACUUUUUUUAAUUGCAAGAAUAGAAAGAAUCCUGCUUUAAUAUGUUUGAAUUUCCCAGAAUUUUUUUUCUAUUUAACAUUUUAUGUCACCUAAUUAACAAAAAGGGGAGAUAAAAGGUCGAAGAUUCUUGUUUUAGUUAAAGCCAAAUGAACCUUCUUUUUUAAAAAAAAAAAUAUCACUUGUUGUUCCGCCAAUGCAAAAGCUCUUUUUAAGUUUAAAUUUUCCCACUAAGUUUAAAAAAUGUUUUCUCACUUUAUAGCUAGGCAUUCUUUUUUUAUUUUUUUAAAUUAUCUUAGAACUUAUUUUGAUUUUAGUUAAUUUGAUUAAUCUAAGUUUGAUCGGUUAAUCAUAGUUAUCGGAUUCCUUAGGGAGCCUAACCCCUUCCCUAUAGGAUAAUUAGAAUCUUUAUCUAGAAUUACUUUAAGUUAAGUAGACCUUAAAAUGAAGUUUUUAUUUUCUUUUAAUCACAUAGUGUAGAAUUGGUGUCCUAAUUCACUGUAGAAACUAAUUAGGUGGCGACUUGCUUAAUUUAAUUAUAAGUUUUUCAAUAUGUUGUACCUUGGUUUGAUCCGUGUUAAAAUAGGGUAUAAUAGCUUGGCGACUUCACCGGCGAUUAUUAGGUUCUUAAUUAGAAUGAUUGAAGGCGUCCUGCACAAGUUGAGGAUAUAGUGAAAAAAUUUCAAUUCAACGUAAAAGUUAGCGGUCACAAGAAAAUUAUGGUGCCUUUCUACACUCUUCAAGAUCUCUCCUGAUAAGCUUGUGGUUAGAGAAUUGAUUUCAUUUUGGGACCCAAUCGAGUUAUAUUUUCAUUCAAAGACUUUGAAGUCACCACCACAUUAGAGGAGAUCAAUUAUUUCACUAAUUUAAAGUAUCAAGGGAGAGGUCAGAUCACUCUGCAUAGUCAAUUAGGAAAGAAAUUUCUUUGCUACUUGGUGUUAAAGAACACUAAUAAACUCCGAUGCUUCAAAAAUAAUUGGGUUUCUUUUGGAUUAUGUGUACGAGAGAUAUGAUUGUCAAGUCAGUUAUAAGUUGUUUAAGAAAGAAUUCACUUGCACUUUUAACAAUUGGUGGGUUAGAUGUCUGAUUACAUUUAUCGUUACCUUGUUAGGAACUUUGGUAUUUCCGCGAGAAUAUGAAAAUAUCAGUACCUACAUAUGUUCUAUGGCUCGAGAACUUUUUAAAAGAGUUGAUGGAGCAGAAAUCACCUUGGUUCCUAUGAUCUUGACAGAAAUAUUUCGUGUACUUGGAAAGUGUAAAACAGGUAAAACAAGCUUCUUUAAAGGUUUCAAUCGUCUUCUGCAGAUAUGGGCAACAGAGCAUCUCUACAAACUUGACAACUUAAUUGACAUAAUGUUUAGUGCUUCACAUGUGAUUGACCCUUAUGAUAAAAGGAUGAGAAGAUUUGUGUUCCCAAUCGACACUGAUGAUUGGUUUGAUAUUUUAGCCUCCCGUACCAGUGACCAAAUCUAGUGGAAAUACCAUUACUCUCAUGUUCUAUGGCUUACAUAGGAUGCAGAGGACUUUAUUAUAUUGAUCUUAUCAGUUUGAAAUGUCUAUAAUGGUCAGACAUAAAUCAUCCCCCUCCGAGCAAAUGUGCGAGUUUCUGAAGUCUUCUUUGGAUCAUACUUUAGAGUCCCUAAAGCUAGUCAAAUUCUACAUGAAUGGAGUAAUAUUCUCACAAUAUAUGUGAGGCAUAGAUCAGCAGAGUGUAUUCCAGAAUAUCAAGUAUGGAUUCGAGAAUAUUGUGGCAAUAUAGACCCUAGUCCACAAGGUGAACAAGGUUUUGAUGAUGUUGGAAUGACUAUUUGGAUAAGGCAUUCUCGUCUUGGAAUCAUGGUGGUCACGCCUGAAAUGUGGGCUCAAAUGGCCAACAUAAUAUAGUAUUUGGAAAAUGCGGGAGUGGGGCCUAAUAAUAUUGGAGCAUCAUCUUCACAUCCUCCAUCGACAUGAUUAGAAGCAGGGUCUAAGCCACGUCCUAGGAUUGUCUUUGUACUUUUUAUGUAUUUUGACUUUAUUUCUUAUUAUUGUACUUGAUUAAUAUUUCAAUGAACCAUGGCCUUUUAUUUCAAAAAUCAAAUCUUGUCUUAAAUAAUGGCUUGGAUCAAUUUAUCAUAAUCUCAAUUAUUUGACGCUUAGGUCCACCUCUUGUCACAAAAGAGGUCAUGUUCAUAGUAGGAUGCAUUUUGAGUUUUCUGAUAUUAGGUGCUUUGUUUGCAACAUGAUACAUGUUUUUCUUUCUUUUCCAACAUUUUUUGCUUAUGUAACGACCCUUCCGGUCAUUUGUGAAAUUUUCCCGUCUUCUCUAUUUUAGCGCUCUCUGUAGUUGGUGUAUGUGAAUUAUGACUCACAAGAUGAGUAGUCUCAAUGCUUGAGGUAUUUGAAAGUUUUGAAUAUUUUAAACAAUUAGUUAAUUAAUAAAUUAAUGGAUCAAAAUAGCCAUUUAUUUAUUUAUGUGGUUAAUAUAAGAAUUGAAUUAAGUAGAAGAGGUUUAUCUUAUUUAACAAUAAUAUAAUACCACUAAAAGUUGAAAUAAAAGUAGUGGCUGAACGUAGCAAUUACAAGAUUCACACGAACGGUUUAAGGAAUUCGCAAUAAUCAUCAGGUUAGCCACUUGAGAAAUUAUUAAUAGUAUAUUUAUGUAGGCGUUUGGAUGUAUUGCAGUGUUAAAGAGAAGUGCGGCAAAUUUUGUUAAUUGGAAUUGGCUAAUAAAGAACUUAGUCUUUAAUAUGACAAAGUGUUGAUGGCCCAAUGGAAUUGGCCAAUUACAGACAGCACUUGAUAAGCCUUUUAUGGAAUUUUGCAUAUGUUGUAGGGGUCCGUACAAUGACCAUUUUUCUCAUUAUUUAAUAAUUGUUUUUCUCUUCUCUUUUCUUUCCGUAAUUUACUUCAUAUAUUAAAGAGAUUGCAGUUUAGGUCUAGAAUUUUUAGAGUAAGAAUAUAUAAAUUGGAGUUAUUAGAUUCGUAUUUUUAUAUGAACUAUAUGCUUGAACAGAUUUGGAUCUUUUAAAAGCUUUACGAAAGGGCAAGACCUUGACAAAUUUGCUUGUGUUUGAAUUCUUCGGUUGAGGUAGUUUACGGUUUAAUUAGAGUUUAGCCUUGACUUAAGUGUUUGUAUGCUCCUAAAUUGAAUACUUGUUGAUUGGUAUUUGGACAUGCUUCAAAUUGUUGAUGUUUGGAUUUUUAAUGCGUGUAUAAAUGAUUAUUAAAAAUUUACUCGAUGAAAUUGUCUUAUGACUUUAAGUGUACUUGUAAACUUGGUACAUUGUAUCGUAUGUUUGUGAAUUUGUGUAAAUUUGAUGUUGAUAAUACUUGUUUAUGUUGGAUCGGGUACCAUGCCGGUACGGAUAUGUAUAUGUUUGAUUGGGUACCACGUUGAUACGGAUAUAUAUAUGUUGGAUCGGGUAUCACGCCGGUACGAAUAUUUAUAUGUUGGAUCAGGUACCACGCUGGUACGGAUAUGUAUAUGUUGGAUCGGGACCACGCCGGUACAGAUAUGCAUAUGUUGGAUCGGGUACCUCACCAGUACGGAUAUGUAUAUGUUGGAUCGGGUACCUCACCAGUACAGAUAUGUAUAUGUUGGAUCGGUACCACAUUGGUACAGAUAUGUAUAUGUUAGAUCGGGUGCCAUAUCAGUACAAAUAUGUAUAUGUUGGAUCAAGUACCACGAUGGUACGGAUAUGUAUAUGUUGGAUCGAGUACUACGCCGGUACGAAUAUAUAUAUGUUGGAUCGGGUACCACGCCGGUAAGGAUAUAGAUAUGUUGGAUUGGGUACCACGCCGGUAUGGUACAUGAACAUAUACUAUUCCCUGCAAGUCAUGACUAUUUGGGCAAAAAUAAGUCUCAUAGCAUGUGUGUAUAUAUUUGUGUUGAUUCUGUGGAUGUUUACAGUAUGGUUGAUACUUUUAAUAGUUAUGUGGCUUGGUUAUGAGUAUUGUUUGACCUGUUAUUGCUAUAUUAUCGAUUCAUUAAAUUGUUAGUAUAUAACGAUGCAUGUCUACUUGUUAUUUGAUUUACGUUAUGUACAUGCUAUUAAGUUGAGUUGGCCUAUGAUGCCUACCAGUACAUAGUAGUUUGUACUGAGACUACCUUGUACUCUCUUUUUUUUAGUGCAGAAAACGUUCUAGAGGCUUAGACAUGACCUUACCUCUAGAGUUUGAUAACAGAUCUUGAUCCAAGGGUGAGCACUCCAUCUCCAAGCUGCCAUGGGUCAUCUUGUUUUUUCUCUUCCAUCUUUUGGAAAAUGAAACAUUCUUUAUUUACUUUAUGUUUUGGAUAUAUUUUUAGACCUGAUCUUGGUUAGUAGUUCUUGUAUGAUGACUUUCAGGUCUUGGGGAUUUUAGCAAGUAGUUUGUUUGACUUCCGCAUUAAUAAUUAUUAGUCCUGAAUUAUUGUUAUUAUGUUGAUUUUAUAAUGAUUUAUCUUAAUAUUGACUAAGUGAUUGAGUGAUGAUUCCAGUUAGAUGGUUCUCCCACAAGAAGAUUAGUGUGGAUACCACUCAUGGCCAUUUGGGUCGUAACAGCUUAAUUGUGAGUUAUUUAUGCAAAUUAUUCCCUUAUACUGAUAUAUUUAUUACUUUUGAAGGUUUUUAUUUCUUUUAAUUUACUCCCUCAAAGGUUGAUUUGUGUUUACGAUGAACUGGCUGAUCACCCAUGCUUCACGAGAUCAAAAGCUUGAGCAAACGCCAACAUGGCUGAUUUAGGUACACCUAAUGGCUUAGGACUUGUCAUCGACCCAAUAGGUGAACCUAAAACUUUUGGGGAGAAGAUUGAAACCCUUCAUGAUGAAUGUAUAGCCCAUAUGAUACAACAAAUAGCUGACAUGCAAAGUGAAAUUGCUCAACUUCGAAACCUCACCAAACUGUCCAUUACCAUGAAUACUCCACUUCCCGGAAAUGUAAAAAAUACCACAAUUUCAUCUUCUUUUCCACCUAUUUAUUCUCUUACCUCCCAACACUUCCCGCUAAAUUCUUCACUUCACCAAAAUAAUCUUAUUUCUACUUAAUCUCCCUUUAACCAUAAGAAGACAACCCGUAACACGUAGCUCACAACAAAUAAACCAUUACUCUUCACUACUCAUUUUGUUUCUCAAGUUUCGAUUACUCAAACUCCAUUUACCCAAUCUCCACAUACCUAAAAUACCCCACUUGCCCAAACUACCCCAGUCAUCCAAAACCACCAAGAAACCCCAUAUAUAUCGGUGUUACAUGCUUCAAUUCCUAACAUACAAUAUGUGCCACAAGUAUAUAUAGCAGGAGCUUAACCUUUCACUAUCCCAAUGGAAACCACACAAAAAGUUGUUCCUGAUGAGGAGAUGGAGAAGGAGGCAAGGUCCAAAGUAGAUAAAAGUGUAGCAAAGGAAAUUCACAAUUUAAAAAAAGCAUUUAGAAGCAUCAAACAACACAAAGGAUAUGAAUGGCUUGAGUAUUAAGAUUUAUGUGCUCAUCCAGAUAUUGAGUUGCCUGUAGGGUAUAAGGUGCUGAAGUUUGAUAUGUUUGAUAGAAACAGAAAUCCUUGAGCUCAUUUAAGGUCAUAUUAUGACAAACUAGUUGGAGUGGGGAAGGAUAAGGCCAUUGAUGGAGUUGUUUAUAAGAAGUUUGACAGGAGAGGAUCUAGAUUCGUACACGAGCCAAAACCCACAGAAAUAGCAUGGCCGAAAUGCCUUGACAUAAAAAUUUAUGGAUACGGGCCAAAACCCACAGAAAUGGAAUGGCUGGAAUGACUUGACGCAAGAAUUUAUGGAUAGGUUCAGGUUUAACAUUGAAGUCAUCCCAAAUAGGUUCCACUUGAUGAAGAUGAAGAAGAAAUCGAUAGAGUCAUUCAAAGAAUAUGCUAUUCGAUGGAGAGUAGAUACCGCAAAAGUUCAACCUUUGAUGGAGAAAAGCAAGAUGAAUUCUCUUUUUGUACAGUCUCAAAAAGAUGUGAUGUAUUAUGACAAGAUGAUAACCAUGGUUGCAAAUAAGUUCUCUGAUGUUUUUAGGAUAGGAGAAUUUAUUUAAGAAGGCAUUAAAACUGGGAUAAUCACUAAUCUGGCAGCUUUACAAGCAAUAAGUAAGGCAGUGCAGUCUGAUCUAACUGGCGAGUCAACAAAAAGAAGGAUGGAGUUUCUGCUGUCAUGACUAUUCAAGAAAAAAAACCAAACCAAAUAUUAAUAUACUAAAACCCACCACCCCAUCCAUCUUAUUAUAAUCAAUAUAUCCAAGCUCCUCACCUAUAUUACCAACCUUUACCUACCCCAUAUCCAAUUUAUGCCACCCAUCCAUCAUAUUGUCCACCUCGAGCACUGACCCAUAAAAAUCUGCCAUAAUAUCAACCUACCUAUCCACCUUAAACCUCCUACCAACAACAAAAUAAUCCUCCAAAUUCACCCAGGCCUCACCUAAACUAUGAAAAAAGGACAACCAAAACCUAUACACCUCUAGCCGAACCCUUAUCCCAACUAUAUGAAAGAUUGAGGAUUGCAGGAGUACUUUAGUCGAUCUAAGGUAGAAUUCCCAAUCCCAUGCCUGGAUGGUAUGAUGGAAAUAUCAUUGUUCUUAUCACUCUGUGGUUUUUGGGCAUGCCACUAAGAAUUCCUUACUCUUAAGGAUAAUAUUAAGGCUCUAAUCAAAGAAGGAGUUAUCCAGCUUAAAGAGGCCCCCCAAUGUGAACAACAAUCCCUUGCCAAAUCAUGGGGCACUCAUGCGAAUUUGAUCACCAUUGAUGGAGAAUGUAAUUUGGAAGGAAAUAUUAUAUCCAUUAGUAAUAAGGAAAAGAGAAAAACAUCAUCUUGCAUCGUUCCUAUAACUGCAGUCCAGAUGCGAGCGCCAAUUGAAGUAGAAGUUCUUGUUCCCAGGCCUAUGAUCACAACCUUAGUUAUUAAAAUACAUUUAAAUACUAAAAUAGUUCCAUGGAAUUACUCAACUGAUGCAAGAGAUAGGGGAAAAACAAAAUUGGUUGUAGAAGCUGCUAUUAUAGGAAUGACAAGAUCUGGGCAUUUUUAUGCCCCUAAGAAAGUUGUACAAGAAGCGCCUGAAAAAUAGAAUAGUCAAAAAGGGUUGUGACAGAGGAUGAGGUAGAGUCUUUAUAAGGGAAAAUACCGACUAAGGCAUAUUCUGUUGUGGAACAGCUAAAGAAAAAUCUUUCCCAGAUAUUCUUAGUCAUUAUUGAUGAAUUUCGCAACUCAUAGGAAAGCUUUGGUGAAGGUGCCGAAUGAAGCUUAUUUGCCGACCAAGAUAACUAGAGAAAAUCUUACAACUUUGGUGGGACAAGUUUUAGAAGCUAAUACAGUCUCUUUUCAUAAAGAUGAGUUGCCGCCUCAGGGCUUGGGGCAUAAUAGAACAUUGAACAUCACUGUCAGGUGUAGGGACAAGUUUGUUUCUAAAGUUAUUAUUGACAAUGGGUCAGUUAUUAACAUUUUUCCUUACACUACCCUUCGAGCAUUGGGAAUUGACAUCGGAAAAGUUUAUGAAAGUAAUGUAAGGGUUAAAGGCUUUGAUGGGACUCAAAGAGGAGUUAUUAGAGAAAGUGAUUUGGUACUACAAAUUGGACCUGUGGAGUUUAUAUUAGAAUUCCAGUGUUGGACAUAUCUGCUAGUUAUAAUUUGUUACUCGUAAGACUAUGGAUUCUUAGUGCUGGCGUAGUCCCCUCUACCCUACACUAGACUUUAAAAUUUGUUUAGGAUUAUCAUGAGUUUGUGAUUCAUAGAGACAAAAGAAAUUCUAUCUAUCAGGAAAACUCAGCCCUUAUUAUUAAACGUGUGAAAAACUAGAUGGAUCCAUUUUUUAUAGUAAGGAGAUCAUGUGUGCUGCUAAGAUAGAAAGGUUAAAUUUGCCACCAACACUUAUUAUAGUAGCCUUAGAAAUGUCUAAGAAUGAUUUUGUGCCUAGUCAAGGUCUUGCUAUGAACUUGGAUGGAAUACUAAACCCAGUUCAGUUGUCUAAACAGAAGAGCACUUUUGGUCUUGGAUAUAAGCCCACACCUGAAGAAGUCUCAUUGGAUAGUCUCAAAAGAAAAGGUAAAAUUCUCCUAUCAAAGACUAUUCUGCUUCUGAAUCAAUCAUUUUCGAAAGUGUUUGUUACCUAAGUACCAGAGAAAGAUGUUGAAGAAGAUCUCGUGGAAAGUGUCAUAGACUUGUUCAUUAAUGUAGAAAAAGCAAAGUGCACUAUGAUUCUGGAGGAUUGCAUCGAGACCCUAACAAUUUGGAAUGUUGAGCUUAGAGAUGAUCUGAAUAAUUGGACUCGUACCCCAUUGUAAUGCCCCGAGUCUGUACCCCAGAUCCUACACGAUGCUCAUAAUCUUGAGGGACAACAAUCUAAGCCAUGACUGGUACCUGCUGCAACAGCUGAAUAAUAAUAUUAUUAUUAUGCGAAAAUUAGGAGAAACUUGCCAUAAGGUUCAAAACUAUAAAUAAAUACUGAGUAUAGUACAGUAAUACCAAAACUGAACAUCUGUCUAUAAAUACUCUAGUCUGAAAAGCCUCUACUGUCUGAAUAAGGAGUUGAUUAGACAAAUCCCCAACUAACUCCGACUACUGAAAUAAAUUGAGUACUGAAAUACUGGAAUAAUAAAUUUAUCCUCAAAACUAUGAGGACUCACCACUAGGUCUGUUGUUGAUGGAUCGGGCUGCUAAGUAUGAUUGGGAUCCCGUGCGUCUGAACCUAAGAUAUAAGACAACAUAGCACAAAAGAAAGGUAUGCGUAGUACUUUGAAUGUACUAGUAUGCUAUGUGAGGCAGGCUGAGAUGCAUGGGUUCAUACGCAUGAACAAUACUGACUGAAUAACAUGAGUAUAACUGAAUGAGAGUACAUGCAUGAAUACAUAAAUUGUAACUGAGGUCAUGAUAACACUAGAUUCUGAGUUCUGAAUUACUGAUUUACUGAUAUCUGAGUUUACUGAUAUUGUAUAACUGAUAAAUGAAUGACUAUAUCUGAUAAUCUUGAUUCUGUGGAACUGUGCUGAGUUUCGUACUGAACUGAGUGACUGUAUCUGACAAUCCUAAUUUUGUAGAACUGAACUGAGUUCUAUACUAAAACUAGAACUGAAACUGAGACGGUGGAAGGUAAUCAUCUAACCAACAUGCCCCUUUCUAAAUAGAUUGGGGUCCAACCUGUAACCCCAGUAGGAAGGGUGUCAGUAUCGUGCCAUGGGUAAAGACAAGCUGUGAGUUAACCCUAUCUAACAGGAAGCUCUUUCGUCAACCCUCGCUAGCAAUAAAACUCAUAUGAGAUGUAUCAACCCUAGUCUGGCAGAAAGAUAUCUCAACCUAUGUUAUCUACGUAGUUCUGUAAUGCAGGAAGUGCCACAAAGAGUCAAACCCUCUACUGUCACUAUCCUUGGGUUCGCUCGGUGCUGAAUCCUACUCCCAACUGAAUAGAUACUGAACUGAUUUCUAAACUAUACUAGGCUAGACUAAACUAUUAUUGAUUGUACUAUCUAACUGAACUAAAUUGAGUUCACUGAGUUCCGUUGACUGACGAAAUACUACUAAAUUCUGUUAACUAACUAAAUUUACUGAGGUUUCAACUGAAUACUAAACUGGACUGGACAGAUACUGAGUUUUUCUUGAGUUUGGAACUGACUGAGAGUACUAUUGAUUGUGACAUGACUGGGAUUAUUCCGUAGCUGACACUGGCUCUAGGUAAAUAGCUAAAUGGUCGAAUAUUAAAUACCUCAAGGACUCAAUAGCAUGAAGAGUAAAGCAUCACAUGACCUUGUAUAGCAUAUAAAUACAGACUUGUUCAUAAUGUAUCUAUCGAGGCAUUUCAUCGAACACUUGAAUGGCAUGAACUAGCAUACAUGCUAACAUGAUAUAAUCUCACUAUUAAAUUCACAUGAACAACUCAACAAACACUUGGAAGGCAUUGUAUAUGCAAAUAGUACUAACCAACAUAUGAGCAUCACAAUUUCAAGGCUUUAACAUGAAUUCAAAUGAUACUACAUACUUAAUAAUUGUUUUUACAUAAAUCUUGACUUAAUCAUGGAAUAGAAACCUAAUCAACAUUAAAAUCAUGAAUACACUUGAACUCAAAUCAUGGAAAUCAUAAAAUCAAUUUGCUUAAAGUUUAAAAGAGUUUCUUGGACUCCAAAGGUGGAAGGAACCCUUGGAUGAACACAUGACAUACCUUAAAGCUUGAAUUCUGAAAGACUGAUGGAUUUUCUUGGAACUUGGAUUCUUGAAUGUGAUGAACUAGGGUUUGUUCUUGAAAAAUUCUAGAGAGAAUAAAUAAAUGUUACCUUUUGGAUGGUUUAAUUACAUGUUUUGGGGGAUGAUAUAAGAUAGGAAAAGACCCAUUUACCCUUCUGGAUGGGAGUUUUAAUUACUAAAAACUAGACUUGCGAUGCGCAGACCGAUACGUCACGGCAUUAGCAUCGACUCGAUGGCUAAUGUGCUGCCUUGAGUCUGUAUUGGUUCACUGGAAUUUGCAUUGGGAGCUAGUGAAAAAUACUCAUCGAUGCAAUGGGCAACACAGCUCGUUGAGAUCACGUCUAUCCACUAGUUUGAGCAUUCAAACGUACCUCAAAUGAAGUCCAAAAAAUCUAAAACUUGUUCGAGAACACCUACUGACAUUCUUGAUCCUGAAUUAACCUAAAAAUUGAUAUUUAAAGGUCAUAAGGGUCAUGAAAAAGCAUCGCCAACUUACGAAGGCUAAAAUAACUCUAAGUAUGAACACUUAGCUGAAUUUUUCUAAGUCUGGGACCCCUUACUAGCUUUUACAAGACUUAAUUAAGAUUAGGAUUUUACAGGGUCUUACAGUAUCUCCCCCUUGGGAACAUUCAUCCUCGAAUGAGGCUGACUCAGAUGAGAAAACUGAUAGAAUGAAUUUAGAUAUAGGACAUGCACAACUGUAACAUGAUUUCAUAACUGACAGUACUGAUAUGCUUAAAUUUCAUACUGAAUAUGCAUAUCUGAUGCAUAAGUACAUGGCCGAGAUUGUUGAUAAAUUGAGUCUCUUAAACCUAAUAUGCAUAUCUAAUGCAUGAAUACCUGACUGAACGAACUCAUGAGUGUAUGACUAAAUAUGAAAUGGUAGCUGAUACCAAGUUUAUAAAGAAAAUCUGAGCAUAAAACAGAGUAAGUUUAAAGAGAAUCAUUACCUUGGGCUGAGUCUCAGUUUGUGGAAAAGAGGUGAGGAUACUUGGUUCGCAUAUCUUCUUCUGCUUCCCAAGUAGCUCCCUCAAUGAACUGAUUCCGCCAAAGAACUUUGACUAGAGGGACUUCUUUGUUCUUCAGUCUACAAAUUUGAUAGUCAAAGAUUUUGAUAGGACCUCUUCGUAAGAGAGACUGUUUUGAAUAUCUAGGCCCUCUAUAGGGACUACAGUCGUUGGAUCACCUAUGCACUUCUUAAGCAAGGAGACAUGAAACACUGGAUGCACUGAAGCUAAGUCUGAAGGUAACUUAAGCUCAUAAGCUACCUUUCCAAAAUGGCUGAGAAUUCGGUAAGGACCGACAUAUCAGGGAUUAAGAUUCCCCAUCUUGCCAAACCUCUUCACUCCUUUCAUAGGAGAGAUUUUCAAAUACACAUAAUCACCAAUAUCGAACUCGAGAUCCUUUCUAUUCAUAUUUGUGUAUGAUUUCUGUCGGGUCUGAGCUGUCUUAAGCCUUUCCCUUGUCAACUGAACCUUCUAUAAGGUGUCAAACACCAAGUCAAUCCCUACCACUGUGGCUACACCCACUUCAAACCAAGCUAUAGUAGAUCUACAUCUCCUGCUAUAGAGCACCUCAAACGGAGCCAUCUAAAUACUGGGAUGAUAACUGUUGUUAUAUGCGAACUCAAUCAAAGGUAAGUGGUCAUCCUAAAUACCUUUAAAGUCUAAUGCACACGCUCACAGCAUAUCCUCUAAAGUUUGAAUGGUCUUUUCUGCUUGACCAUCUGUUUGAGGGUGAAACACUGUACUGAGGUGGACUUGGGUACCAACACCCUUUUGGAAGGCUUUCCAGAAAUGAGAGGUAAACUGGUACCUUUAUCUGAGAUUAUAUAUAACAGAACUCCAUUUAAUCUGACCAACUCCCUGACACAGAACUUGGCAUAGUCCUCGGCUGAAUAAGAGGUAUGAACUAUUAGGAAAUGAGCUGAUUUGGUCAUUCUAUCUACAAUGUCCUAGACUGAAUCAUGCUGACGAUGAGAAUGCGGAAAACCCCUCACAAAUUCCAUGUUCACCUUCUCCCACUUCUAAGUGGGAAUACUAAACUUCUGCAUAGACCCACUGGGUUUCUGAUGAUUAAUCUUAACCUGCUAACACGUAGAGAACUUAGCUACAAACUCUGCAAUGUCUCUCUUUAUCCCUCUUCACCAAUAGAUCUCUCAUAAAUUACGAUACAUCUUAAUGGCUCCUGGAUGAAUAAAGUAAUGCGCACCAUGCGCUUCUACAAGAAUCCACUAUCUCAAGUCAUCUAUACCUGGCACACAUAACCGACCCUGAAAAUGCAAUGCAAUACACCAUCUCCCCCUUAGAAGAAAACCUCUAUCUUCUAAUCUCUAACUGAUUCUUUUAACUUAACUAGGCUGGGAUCCCUAUCCUUCUUUUCCUUUACCUCAAAAACCAGAGAUGAUUCUAAACUACUCUGCACCCAUACACUACCUUUUGCUGAAUCAACUAAGUAGACACUUAGUCGGGCAAGCUGAUGAACUUCCUGAGCUAACUUCUUCUUACCAUUUUCCACAUGAGCAACACUACCCAUAGACAUUCUACUAAGAGCAUCAGUCACUACAUUAGCUUUACCAGGAUCAUACAGGAUGCUCAUGUCAUAAUCUUUAAACAACUCCAACCAUCUUCGUUGAUGGAGGUUUAGGCCUUUAUGAGAGAACAUAUAUUGUAGGCUUUUAUGGUCAGUGAACACAUCAACAUGUAAACUAUACAAAUAGUGCCUCCAAAUCUUUAAGGCAAAUACUAUUGCUACUAACUCAAGAUCAUGAGUAGGAUAGUUUUUUUCAUGGGGUUUGAGUUGUCUAGAGACGUAGGCUAUCACUUUACUUCUCUGCAUCAAAACACAGCCCAAACUAACCCUAGAAGAAUCACAAUACACAACAAAGCCAUCUAAACCAUUUGGCAGAGUCAAAACUGGGGUUGCAAUGAGUCGAGCCUUCAACUCCUAGAAACUCUUUUCACAAGAAUCUGACCACUGAAAUUUGACCUUAUUCUGAGUCAAUCUGGACAUAGGGGAUAGAAUAGAUGAAAAUCCCUCAAUAAACCAUCGGUAAUAGCAGCCAAACCCAAAAAACUCCAGAUAUCUGAUAAAGAGGUGGGUUUGGACUAGUUUCUCACUCCUUUGAUCUUUUAGGGAUCAACUCUAAUGCCAUCACCGAAAAUGAUAUGGCCAAGGAAGGCUACUGACCUUAGCCAAAGUUUGCACUUACUAAAUUUGGCAAAUAGCUGAUGUCAUCUAUAAAAACUAUGAUGAACAUAUCCAAGUACUGCUUGAACACACGGUUUAUCAAGUCCAUAAAAACUAUUGGGGCAUUAGUAAGACCAAAUGACAUGACUUAGAAUUCGAAGUGAUCAUACCGAGUUAUGAAAGCUAUUUUUGAAAUGUCACAUUCUCUGACUCUGAGAUAAUGAUAGCCUGAUCUGAGAUCUAUCUUAGAAAAGUAACUGGCACCCUGAAUUUGGUUAAAUAAGUCAUCGAUUCUGGGAAGUGGAUACUUGUUCUUGAUCGUGACUUUAGUUAGCUGACGGCAGUCUAUACAUAUUUUAAGAGAACCGUCUUUCUUACGCAUGAAUAGAACUGGUGCACCCCACAGGGACAUACUAGGUCUGAUGAAUCCCUUAUUUCGGAGAUUCUUCAACUGUUCUUUUAAUUCUCCGAGUUCUAUAGGUGCCAUUCUAUAUGGCGAAAUAGAUAUGGGCUGAGUUUCUGGAAGAAGUUCUACUCCAAAGUCGAUUUCCCUUUCAGGAGAAACUUCGAGAAGAUCUUCGAGAAAAACAUCUGAGAAUUCACAUGCUAUUGACACUGAUUCAAAAUUAGCGGUUUCUAAGUUAAAGUUUUGGGCUCAAAUGAGAUGGUAGACACAUCUCUUAGAUAUCAUUUUCCUUACCCGAAGGUAGGAAACAAGCAGACCCCUAAGUGCUGAAGUACUACCCCUCCACUCUAGGAUGGGCUCAUUCAGAAACUAAAACUGGACAAUUCUAUUUCUACAGUCAACUGAGGUAUAGAAGGAAUGAAGCCAAUCCAUGCCGAGAAUACUAUCAAAAUCGGCCAUCUCUAAUUUGACUAAGUCUGCUGAAGUGACAUUCUGAGAUACCAUAACCGGACAGUUCCUAAAUACUCGCCAGGCUAUGAUAGAUUUACCCACUGGGGUAGAUACUAAGAAAGUCUCUGCUAGAAUUUUAGGAUUGACUCCAAAGUCAACAUCUAUAUAAGGAGUUACAAAAGACAAAGAAGCUCCUAGAUCUAGCAAAGCAUAAACAUGCAAAUGGAAAACUUGUAAUGUACUAGUGACUAUAUUAGGAGAACUUUCCUAAUCCUUUUGGGACUGAAGUGCAUAAAGUCUAUUUAGGCGUUGCCUACUGGUGGCACUAGAAUUAGCACCCGGCUGAUUCAGGCGACUGGACUGGGCUGAGGGAUGGUUAUGCUGACUCUGGAAACACACCUGAGGACAUUGUCUGACACUAUAUCCUGGCUUGCCAUAUCUAAAACAUACGUCACUGCUAGCUCUACAUACACCCUAAUGAUGUUUUCCAUACUUUUGGCAGAGAGGAUUUGUUUGGACACUGCUAACACUACCCUGGGGUUUAGGGCCUGAUGCCCUAUCUCUAUUGUCGUCUUUAAAUUUUUGAAUGGGAGCACUGAAUGAAGAUAGAGCAGGGACUGAGGAUUUUGGUUGGAAUUGAAAACGAUUACCACCCUUUGACUUAGGCUGGGUGAAGUUGAAGCUACCUAUUUUAGCUUUCUUGUUCUCCAUGUCUUUCUCUUUAUUUUUAUCCUCCUCUAUCUGGUGAGCAUGGAACAUGAGCAUGGAUAUGUCCAUCUCCUUAAUCAACAUUGUGGUCCUACACUCCUUGACCACACUAUUAGACAUGCCAGACAUAAACUUACUCAUCUUAGGUCUGUUAUCUGCUACUAUAUGAGAAGCGUAUUUGUCUAAUUAAGUAAACUUGAGAGAAUAGUCUUGUACUAUCAUGUUGCCCUUCUUUAAAUUUAUAAAUUCUAAAACUUUUGCUUCCCUCAACUCUAUCGGGAAAAACCUAUCCAGAAAAGCAAUAGCAAACUCAUCCCAUUAUAUGGGCCCUAUAUCUGUGGUCCUCUCUACUUUUCACUAUUUGAACCAUGAGUGAGACACAUCCUACAACUGAUAUGAUGCUAACUUGAUACUCUCACUAGCUGUCACCCCCAAAUAUUUGUAACUUUCUAAACCUGAUCAAGAAAUUCAUAUGGGUCCUCAUCUGACUUUGACUCGGUAAAAGAUGGAGGGUUCAUUCAGGUGAAGCCUCGAAUCCUGGAUGCAGCAGUAUUGGCCACUAGGUUAGCUGGAAUGGUAGUUGGGCAUUUAUUCUAGGCUGCCACAGAAUGAGCUAGGGUGGUAAAAGCUACUUUGAAUUCAGCGUGGGAGACAUGUUCAUCCAGGGGAUCUGCCUAAACAGGCUGAGGUGCCGACUGAUUUCUGGUUCUCCUUUUGUUAGUCUUUUAUGGAGGCAUGUUCUAUAAGUGAAAAAGAGAGAAUAGAUUAGACUGAGAUUUUAACUGGAACUCAUGCUCACUCACACGACAUGAAUACUGAAAGAAGGGAAACUUUUCCUAAAACAUCUCAUAGCCUCUUGUCUAAAAGUAUGGCGCGCUACACAUCCAUGCACAAGACUCUACUAGAUACAACUUUCAGACUUUUGAGGACUCUGUUGAACAUUAGGCUCUGAUAUCAAGUUUGUAAUUCCCCGAGUUUAUACCCCAAAUGCUACACGGUGCUCAUAAUCUCAAGGGACUACAAGUUAACCAAUGACUGGUACCUGCUGUAAUAAAUGAAUAAUAAUACUAUUAUUAUGCAGAAAUUAGGCGCAAACUUUCCAUAAGUUUUAAAACUUUAAAUAAAUAAUGAGUACGAUACAUCAAUACCAAAAUUGAACAUCUGUCUAUAAAUACUCUAGUCAGAAAAGCCUCUACUGUCUGAAUAAGGAGUUGAUGGAACAAGUCUCCAUCUAACUCCGACUACUAAAAUAAAUUGAGUGCUAAAAUACUAGAAUAAUAAAUCUUUCCUCGAAACUAUGAGGACUCACCACAACAUCUGGUGUUGAUGGAUUGGGAUGCUAAGCAUGAUUGGGAGCCCAUGCGUCUGAACCUAUGAUAUAACACAUCAUAGCACAAAAGAAAGGUAUGCAUUAGUACUUUGAAUAUAAUGGUAUGUUAUGUGAGGUAGGUUGAGAUCUAUGGGUUCAUAUGCAUGAACAAUACUGACUGAAUAACAUGAGUAUAACUGAAUAAGAGUAUAUGCAUGAAUACAUAAGUUGUAGCUAAGGUCAUGAUAACUCCAGAUACUGAGUUUUGAAUUACUGAUUUAUUGAUAUCUGAGUUUACUGAUACUAUAUUACUGAAAGCUGAAUGACUCUAUUUGAUAGUCCUAAUUCUGUGGAACUGUGCUGAGUUCCAUACUAAACUGAGUGACUGUAUCUGACAGUCCUGAUUCUGUGGAACUAAACUUAGUUAUAUACUAAAACUGAGAUUAUGGGAGGUAAUCAUCUAAUCGAUAUGCCCCUUUCUUAAUAGAUUGGGGUCCAAUCUAUAGCCCA